rnacentral:misc_RNA from 1 species
GAAAUGCGAUACAUAAUGUGAAUUGCAGAAAUCAGUGAAUCAUCAAAUCUUUGAACGCACAUUGCACCUGAAGUAUCCCUUCAGGUACAUUUGUCUGAGUGUCCUUUUCUUUUAUUUAUCUAUUCAAUCUAAUGAUAUUGAUGUGCAUAGUCUAGAUAUGUACAUUUAAAAAUAUACUAGUUGAUACUUUAUGUCUGGGUAGAUUAUUUUGUAUUUUUACACUCGAAUCAACGUAGUAUUUAAAAAAAAAAGGUAGGAAUCAAUCUAAUACAAAGACCUCAGAUCAAAUGGCAAAACCCGCUGAAUUUAA